GGAGAGGUGCCGGAGUGGCCGAACGGGGCUGCCUGCUAAGCAGUUGCACCCAUUACGGGUGCCCAGGGUUCGAAUCCCUGCCUCUCCGCCA
rnacentral:tRNA from 1 species